ACACAAGGAGCAAUCUGAGGUGGCGACCGGCGCACGGGUGAGUAACACGUAUGCAACCUGCCUGUAAGCGGGGAAUAACCCGUUGAAAGACGGACUAAUACCGCAUAAUACUAAAUUACUGCAUGGUAAUUUAUUUAAACAUUUAUGGCUUACAGAUGGGCAUGCGCAUGAUUAGCUAGUUGGAGAGGUAACGGCUCCCCAAGGCAACGAUCAUUAGGGGUUCUGAGAGGAAGGUCCCCCCACACUGGUACUGAGACACGGACCAGACUCCUACGGGAGGCAGCAGUGAGGAAUAUUGGUCAAUGGACGAGAGUCUGAACCAGCCAAGUCGCGUGCAGGAAGAAUUGUCCUAUGGAUUGUAAACUGCUUUUGCAGGGGAAUAAAGUGCAUCACGUGUGAUGUUUUGUAUGUACUCUGCGAAUAAGGAUCGGCUAACUCCGUGCCAGCCGCCGC
rnacentral:rRNA from 1 species